rnacentral:rRNA from 1 species
CCUACGGGGGGCAGCAGUGAGGAAUAUUGGUCAAUGGACGAGAGUCUGAACCAGCCAAGUAGCGUGAAGGAUGACUGCCCUAUGGGUUGUAAACUUCUUUUAUAUGGGAAUAAAAUGUUCCACGUGUGGGAUUUUGUAUGUACCAUAUGAAUAAGGAUCGGCUAACUCCGUGCCAGCAGCCGCGGUAAUACGGAGGAUCCGAGCGUUAUCCGGAUUUAUUGGGUUUAAAGGGAGCGUAGGUGGAUUGUUAAGUCAGUUGUGAAAGUUUGCGGCUCAACCGUAAAAUUGCAGUUGAAACUGACAGUCUUGAGUACAGUAGAGGUGGGCGGAAUUCGUGGUGUAGCGGUGAAAUGCUUAGAUAUCACGAAGAACUCCGAUUGCGAAGGCAGUUCACUGGACUGCAACUGACACUGAGGCUCGAAAGUGUGGGUAUCAAACAGGAUUAGAUACCCUAGUAGUC